GAUGAAGAACGUAGCAAAAUGCGAUAAGUAAUGUGAAUUGCAGAAUUCAGUGAAUCAUCGAAUCUUUGAACGCACAUUGCGCCCGCUGGUAUUCCGGCGGGCAUGCCUGUUCGAGCGUCAUUUCAACCCUCAAACCCCCCGGGUUUGGUGUUGGGGAUCGGCUCUGCCUCACGGCGGUGCCGCCCCCGAAAUACAUUGGCGGUCUCGCUGCAGCCUCCAUUGCGUAGUAGCUAACACCUCGCAACUGGAACGCGGCGCGGCCAUGCCGUAAAACCCCAACUUCUGAAUGUUGACCUCGGAUCAGGUAGGAAUACCCGCUGAACUUAAGCAUAUCAAUAGCGGAGGA
rnacentral:misc_RNA from 1 species